AUUUUGGUUGUUUUGAAAUGAAAUUCGUUUUUUCCUAUAUCUGGUUACUCAAGAAUUUGAUUCAAUCAGGGAUUUUUAUUUGUUUAUUUAUUUUUUAAAUUCAUUUUAAAUUCUUAUAUUUAGGGGGAUAAGCUCUUUUUUUUUAUAUAAUUUUUUUAAUUUUUUUAUUUUUGUUGGAUUGAGAUCUUCCUUCAUUUUAAGUUCGUUAAAGAUUAAUUAUUAAUUUUUUUUUCAUUUAUUUUUUUAUUGAGUUUUAUUUUUAAUUUUUUUGGUUUUAAUAAUGAUUAAAUUAGUAAAUUUAAAAAUUUAAUUUAUGAACUAGGCAAAACUUAUUUCCGCCUGUUUAUCAAAAACAUGUCCUCCAGGUUCUAUUGGAGGUUUGACCUGCUCAAUGAAUUUUAAAUAGCCGCAGUAUUUUGACUGUGCUAAGGUAGCAUAAUAAUUAGUCUUUUAAUUGAGGUCUAGAAUGAAUGGUUAGACGAGAAAUAAACUUUAUUAUUUAAAUUUUAUUUGAAUUUUAUUUUUUAGUGAGAAAGCUAAGCUUUUAAAGAGGGACGAUAAGACCCUAUAGAUCUUUAUUUUUAUCCAUUUUUAUUUUUUAUAGUUUAUUUUAAGGUUUUUUUGGUUAUAAAUUUUGCUGGGGUGGUAAAUAAACUUUUUAUCUUUAUUUUUUUUUUACAUUUAUUUAUGUUGAUUUGAUCCUUUUUUUUGAUUAUAAGAUUAAGAUACCUUAGGGAUAACAGCGUUAUAGUUCUGGAGAGUUCAUAUUGAUAGAAUUGUUUGCGACCUCGAUGUUGGAUUAAAAAUUUCUGUGAGGCAGGUUU
rnacentral:rRNA from 1 species